rnacentral:lncRNA from 1 species
GGUCAUUCUGAGCCUUGCUCCAACAUCAGGCCGGGCCAAAUGGGCCGGUUUAGCUUGGUAGGCCAGUCAAUGGCCCAGGUUGGGCCCCAUCCAACAUAGCAGGGCAGGUCAAUGGACCAGGCUAAGCACAUGGCAAACAGGCCGAUCUCACAAUAUGAACUCAAGACAAGCGGAAUAAAACAUCUAAUUACAAAGAGAAUAGGUAAAGUAUCAUCUUCAUAAGUAGGAACAGAAAGAAAACAGGAAAAAGAAGGGAAAUCCUA